CUACCUGAAAACAUGACAUGAAGAGAGUGAGUAUAAAAUACUCAGUAAGGGACCCACUACUAGUCCCACUAGGUGACUGUUAACUUCCUGUCAGAGUCCUGUAACUGGUACCCAAUCUCUGGCACGUUCCCGAACACGUGCAACAUGCGCUCCCGUAGGAACGUAACUCUGGUCUUCGGUGCCCCGGGGGACACCUAGGACAAUCGGGAUGCGAGGACCCCGUCGAGUCACUCGAGUCAUAUCUAUAUCCAUGCUAGACUGGUGUCCCGUCGGACCGCACAGUCCUAAAUAGGUGGUGAUCCCGAAGGACACCCAUGCAGGUGGAAGGAGUCAAAUUAGUCUUGGCGGCUCGGCUGGAAAGAGAACAGGGAUCGGCUCGGCUCGGCUUGGCGCAGGGAUCUUGCGCGUGCGGCUCGGCUUGCGACAGCCAAGAGGCGCGGCUUGCACGCGGAGAGGGCUGGGCACGUGUGGGCACGGACGCGGGUUCGGUUUCGGGUUCGGGCGAGCGGGCGUGGAGCGGUUCCGGGUUCGGGUUCGACGGCUGGAGGCGCACGAGGCGUUGGCUGCUGGACUUCAGUCGGCGCGACGGCGCGACGGCUGGCUGACGGACGUUCCGGUUGCGCUGCGUCGGAUCUAAGCGGCGCGACGUGGCUGGACGUGUGAACGACGGCGUUGCGGACACGGCUGGCUGACGGAUCAGCUGCGGCUCCUCAGCGCUUGAUCGGAGCGACGCGACGCGGCUCGGCUGCUCUCCUUAGAUCGAAGCGGCGCGACGCGGCUCGGCUGCUCUACCUUAGAUCGAAGCGGUGCGACGAGUUCCGGCUGCAGACACGGCGCGACGUGCGUAGCUCUUCCUAGGCGUGCGGUGGCUUGACUCGGUUUGAAAUCUCCGGCGCGGCUGGGCGUGUGGCGUGGGUCGGCGGCUAGGGUUUCAAGAAGGACUUUAAUUGCUCCUCUCUUUUUUUUUUUUGUUUUUCUUAUACACGGGUCCCAAAGCUGCUUUAUAUAAGAAAAUUAUCUUCUUUUUCUUUUUCUAUUUCCUUUAAUUAAUUUGAAAACCAACCACCUCCUAUGUC